rnacentral:rRNA from 1 species
AACUGCUCUUUAACAAUUUAUCAGACAAUCUGUGUGGGCACUCAAAGUGACAUGGAUUCUUAACGUCCUCGGACGAAAAAUGAAUACCAAGUCUCAAGAGUGAACACGUAAUUCAUUACGAAGUUUAAUUCUUUGAGCAUCAAACUUAAAUUGAAGAGUUUGAUCAUGGCUCAGAUUGAACGCUGGCGGCAGGCCUAACACAUGCAAGUCGAGCGGUAGCACAGAGAGCUUGCUCUCGGGUGACGAGCGGCGGACGGGUGAGUAAUGUCUGGGAAACUGCCUGAUGGAGGGGGAUAACUACUGGAAACGGUAGCUAAUACCGCAUAAUGUCGCAAGACCAAAGUGGGGGACCUUCGGGCCUCAUGCCAUCAGAUGUGCCCAGAUGGGAUUAGCUAGUAGGUGGGGUAACGGCUCACCUAGGCGACGAUCCCUAGCUGGUCUGAGAGGAUGACCAGCCACACUGGAACUGAGACACGGUCCAGACUCCUACGGGAGGCAGCAGUGGGGAAUAUUGCACAAUGGGCGCAAGCCUGAUGCAGCCAUGCCGCGUGUGUGAAGAAGGCCUUCGGGUUGUAAAGCACUUUCAGCGGGGAGGAAGGCGUUAAGGUUAAUAACCUUGGCGAUUGACGUUACCCGCAGAAGAAGCACCGGCUAACUCCGUGCCAGCAGCCGCGGUAAUACGGAGGGUGCAAGCGUUAAUCGGAAUUACUGGGCGUAAAGCGCACGCAGGCGGUCUGUCAAGUCGGAUGUGAAAUCCCCGGGCUCAACCUGGGAACUGCAUUCGAAACUGGCAGGCUAGAGUCUUGUAGAGGGGGGUAGAAUUCCAGGUGUAGCGGUGAAAUGCGUAGAGAUCUGGAGGAAUACCGGUGGCGAAGGCGGCCCCCUGGACAAAGACUGACGCUCAGGUGCGAAAGCGUGGGGAGCAAACAGGAUUAGAUACCCUGGUAGUCCACGCCGUAAACGAUGUCGAUUUGGAGGUUGUGCCCUUGAGGCGUGGCUUCCGGAGCUAACGCGUUAAAUCGACCGCCUGGGGAGUACGGCCGCAAGGUUAAAACUCAAAUGAAUUGACGGGGGCCCGCACAAGCGGUGGAGCAUGUGGUUUAAUUCGAUGCAACGCGAAGAACCUUACCUGGUCUUGACAUCCACAGAACUUUCCAGAGAUGGAUUGGUGCCUUCGGGAACUGUGAGACAGGUGCUGCAUGGCUGUCGUCAGCUCGUGUUGUGAAAUGUUGGGUUAAGUCCCGCAACGAGCGCAACCCUUAUCCUUUGUUGCCAGCGGUUCGGCCGGGAACUCAAAGGAGACUGCCAGUGAUAAACUGGAGGAAGGUGGGGAUGACGUCAAGUCAUCAUGGCCCUUACGACCAGGGCUACACACGUGCUACAAUGGCAUAUACAAAGAGAAGCGACCUCGCGAGAGCAAGCGGACCUCAUAAAGUAUGUCGUAGUCCGGAUUGGAGUCUGCAACUCGACUCCAUGAAGUCGGAAUCGCUAGUAAUCGUAGAUCAGAAUGCUACGGUGAAUACGUUCCCGGGCCUUGUACACACCGCCCGUCACACCAUGGGAGUGGGUUGCAAAAGAAGUAGGUAGCUUAACCUUCGGGAGGGCGCUUACCACUUUGUGAUUCAUGACUGGGGUGAAGUCGUAACAAGGUAACCGUAGGGGAACCUGCGGUUGGAUCACCUCCUUA